rnacentral:rRNA from 1 species
GUGUCAGCCGCCGCGGUAAUACGGAGGGGGCAAGCGUUAUUCGGAAUUACUGGGCGUAAAGCGCACGUAGGCGGCGAAGCAAGUCAAGGGUGAAAGCCCUCGGCUCAACCGAGGAAUUGCCCUUGAAACUGUUUCGUUUGAGUCCGGGAGGGGGGAGCGGAAUUCCCAGUGUAGCGGUGAAAUGCGUAGAUACUGGGAGGAACACCGGUGGCGAAGGCGGCUCCCUGGACCGGUACUGACGCUGAGGUGCGAAAGCGUGGGGAGCGAACGGGAUUAGAUACCCCGGUAGUCCACGCCGUAAACGAUGGGUGCUAGGUGUUGGUGGUGUCGAUCCCAUCAGUGCCGAAGCUAACGCGAUAAGCACCCCACCUGGGGACUACGGCCGCAAGGCUAAAACUCAAAGGAAUUGGCGGGG